rnacentral:rRNA from 1 species
UGCUAGUCGCACGAGUUCAGACUCGUGGCGAAUAGCUCAGUAACACGUGGCCAAACUACCCUUCGGAGCUCCAUACCCUCGGGAAACUGAGGCUAAUAGAGCAUAUCACACCACCACUGGAAUGAGUGGUAUGUCAAACGCUCCGGCGCCGAAGGAUGUGGCUGCGGCCGAUUAGGUAGACGGUGGGGUAACGGCCCACCGUGCCAAUAAUCGGUAUGGGUCAUGAGAGUGAGAACCCAGAGACGGAAUCUGAGACAAGAUUCCGGGCCCUACGGGGCGCAGCAGGCGCGAAACCUUUACACUGCACGACAGUGCGAUAGGGGGAUCCCAAGUGCACAGGCAUAGCGCCUGUGCUUUUCGGUACCCUAAGGCGGUACCAGAAUAAGGGCUGGGCAAGACCGGUGCCAACCGCCGCGGUAAUACCGGCAGCCCAAGUGAUGGCCGAUCUUAUUGGGCCUAAAGCGUCCGUAGCUGGCCACGCAAGUCCAUCGGGAAAUCCACCUGCUCAACAGGUGGGCGCCCGGUAGAAACUGCGUGGCUUGGGACCGGAAGGCGCGACGGGUACGUCCGGGGUAGGAGUGAAAUCCCGUAAUCCUGGACGGACCGCCGAUGGCGAAAGCACGUCACGAGGACGGAUCCGACAGUGAGGGACGAAAGCCAGGGUCUCGAACCGGAUUAGAUACCCGGGUAGUCCUGGCCGUAAACAAUGCCUGCUAGGUGUGGCUCCCACUACG